GACGAACGCUGGCGGCGUGCUUAACACAUGCAAGUCGAACGCUGAAGCUCAGCUUGCUGGGUGGAUGAGUGGCGAACGGGUGAGUAACACGUGAGUAACCUGCCCUCUUCUUUGGGAUAACGCCCGGAAACGGGUGCUAAUACUGGAUAUUCACUGAUUCUCGCAUGGGGGUUGGUGGAUAGGUUUUUUCUGGUGGGGGAUGGGCUCGCGGCCUAUCAGCUUGUUGGUGGGGUGAUGGCCUACCAAGGCUUUGACGGGUAGCCGGCCUGAGAGGGUGACCGGUCACAUUGGGACUGAGAUACGGCCCAGACUCCUACGGGAGGCAGCAGUGGGGAAUAUUGCACAAUGGGCGAAAGCCUGAUGCAGCGACGCCGCGUGAGGGAUGGAGGCCUUCGGGUUGUAAACCUCUUUCGCUCAUGGUCAAGCCGCAGCUUUGGGUUGUGGUGAGGGUAGUGGGUAAAGAAGCGCCGGCUAACUACGUG
rnacentral:rRNA from 1 species